rnacentral:rRNA from 1 species
CGCCGGUGACAAACCGGAGGAAGGUGGGGACGACGUCAAGUCAUCAUGGCCCUUAUGUCCUGGGCUACACACGUGCUACAAUGGCCGGUACAGAGCGCAGCGAGGCCGCGAGGCGGAGCGAAUCGCUUAAAGCCGGUCCCAGUACGGAUUGGAGUCUGCAACCCGACUCCAUGAAGUUGGAAUCGCUAGUAAUCGCGCAUCAGCAUGGCGCGGUGAAUACGUUCCCGGGCCUU